CGAGCGCCCUCUUCGGAGGGAGCGGCGGACGGGUUAGUAACGCGUGGGAACGUGCCCUUCUCUGCGGAAUAGCCACUGGAAACGGUGAGUAAUACCGCAUACGCCCUUCGGGGGAAAGAUUUAUCGGAGAAGGAUCGGCCCGCGUUAGAUUAGGUAGUUGGUGGGGUAAUGGCCUACCAAGCCUACGAUCUAUAGCUGGUUUGAGAGGAUGAUCAGCAACACUGGGACUGAGACACGGCCCAGACUCCUACGGGAGGCAGCAGUGGGGAAUCUUAGACAAUGGGCGCAAGCCUGAUCUAGCCAUGCCGCGUGAGUGAUGAAGGCCUUAGGGUCGUAAAGCUCUUUCGCUGGGGAAGAUAAUGACUGUACCCAGUAAAGAAACCCCGGCUAACUCCGUGCCAGCAGCCGCGGUAAUACGGAGGGGGUUAGCGUUGUUCGGAAUUACUGGGCGUAAAGCGCGCGUAGGCGGAUCAGAAAGUUGGGGGUGAAAUCCCGGGGCUCAACCUCGGAACUGCCUCCAAAACUCCUGGUCUUGAGUUCGAGAGAGGUGAGUGGAACUCCGAGUGUAGAGGUGAAAUUCGUAGAUAUUCGGAAGAACACCAGUGGCGAAGGCGGCUCACUGGCUCG
rnacentral:rRNA from 1 species